GAGCGCAGGGGAAGGCCCCGUCCCUGCCCGCCCUGGGGAUGCGGUGGGAGGAAAGAGCAGCACAGGGGCGAGUCGCCGCGUGGCGGUUAACCCUGUGUCGCCCUCCUGGGAGGCGCGAAGGUGUCCGGCGGGCAAGGAGCUGGGUUCCYAGCUGUCAAGCUCCGUAAACGUCUUGUGGCUCUGCUAACUCAAGAAGAGGGACGGAUGCAUUGGAGCUGCACAUGCCUGGGACAGGAGGCAGGUGGCCACCGCUCCCCUGAGGUGGCUGGGGAGGUUCGUGCCUGCCAGGAGCAGAGCAGGAGCGCGGAGCGCUGCGCAAGCGGCUGCCUGUAAAGGGCCGGAAGACGACGCGUGCGAUGACUUCGUGGCUGCUGAGUGCUGCUCCGAGAAGGAAUCCGGCCAACGUGACACCCCCCUGCCAGCCGGGAUGUCAGCGUCUGUGCAGGGAAAAGGGCCUGAAGUUCCUGCGUGCGCUACGGUCGGAGGAGYGACGCCGGGAGGGUCCCUGCCUGCAGCAGCCCGGGGAGCCCCCCCCCCCGGCAAUGCUCCAGCAGAGCGGGUGACCUGCGCUGGGGACAGCCAGUUCCAGCGUUAGCCGGUGCCUGCUGUUCAAAUAACA
rnacentral:lncRNA from 1 species